ACCGUGGCCACAGCUCCCAGUGACACCGUGGCCACAGCUCCCUGUGACACCAUGGCCACAGCCCCCAGUGACACCAUGGCCACAGCUCCCUGUGACACCGUGGCCACAGCUCCCUGUGACACCGUGGCCACAGCUCCCUGUGACACCAUGGUCACAGCCCCCAGUGCCAUGGCCUGCUGUGGGUGGAGAGGUGCAGCUCCCUCCAGCACAGCCCAGAGAUCCCGAGUUUUCCAACAGGAUGGAAAGAAAAAAGGCUUUUGUUUAAUGCAAGACAGAAAAAGAAACUUCCAGUAAAGCAGGUAAAAUGCCUUGCCAGCCCCAGCUACACUGUCCCAGCUAUGUGUCCUGCUGCACAUCCCUCUGCCCAUGGGGCUUCUAACAGGACACGUUUCCUCAGGACCUGUGGAAGAGAAAGGGCAUUUAUAUACCUUAAUUAAUAGUCAACCACAGCUCUUUGGACCUGUUUCCAUGGGGACCACAGCAUGGCUUAGGCUUGUCUUCAGUGUGGUUAAUGUGGAUAAUAAAAGCACUGAAGAUGCUGCA